rnacentral:rRNA from 1 species
CAAACGUGUAAGUAACUGUGCACGUCUUGACGGUACCUGAUCAGAAAGCCACGGCUAACUACGUGCCAGCAGCCGCGGUAAUACGUAGGUGGCAAGCGUUAUCCGGAAUUAUUGGGCGUAAAGCGCGCGUAGGCGGUUUUUUAAGUCUGAUGUGAAAGCCCACGGCUCAACCGUGGAGGGUCAUUGGAAACUGGAAAACUUGAGUGCAGAAGAGGAAAGUGGAAUUCCAUGUGUAGCGGUGAAAUGCGCAGAGAUAUGGAGGAACACCAGUGGCGAAGGCGACUUUCUGGUCUGUAACUGACGCUGAUGUGCGAAAGCGUGGGGAUCAAACAGGAUUAGAUACCCUGGUAGUCCACGCCGUAAACGAUGAGUGCUAAGUGUUAGGGGGUUUCCGCCCCUUAGUGCUGCAGCUAACGCAUUAAGCACUCCGCCUGGGGAGUACGACCGCAAGGUUGAAACUCAAAGGAAUUGACGGGGACCCGCACAAGCGGUGGAGCAUGUGGUUUAAUUCG